GGGGAGGAAGGAUGAGGAGGAGGAACAGGAAGUAGAAGAGGGGGGGGGGAGGAUUGGGUGUUUGAGUGCUUUUAUAGUUUUGUUUUUUUCCGGCUAGCCCAUCAUAUAGCUCUUUCAGAGCCGUAAUCAUUCCCAACUGGAAGGAGAAAUUACAGGAGGGAGGUACUUAUAGGAGGGGGAGGGAAAGAGAGGACAUACAAACAUAGCUGAGGUUGCAGUGAGAGAGAAUUGUGUAUUUACCAGGUGCUAGCUCGCUAGCGAUACACCCUGUUAGUUGGUUUGUUGUCAUCGUAUCACAUGUUGGGCCGACUAGUUUUUAGACACUCAACCGUAUGUUCUAAUAAUGGAAUCACCCGAGACAUUCUCAUGCAUUUUACAGCAAAUGUGUGGAUGUUUAGGAGAAGGUCUGAGGGGGAAAAACAAACUGAUAUUAGUUAGACAGACCUUGAUGAGAAUUUAAUGUUUAUUAUUAAACGUAAGAUAUAAAGAGUUUUUGAACGAUUAUUUUCAUUAAAUGUUGAAUUUCUAUUGAAAUAAAAUCAGCGUGAAACACUGUGGUUAACAUUCUCAGCUAUUUGGUAGUUUACUGGAUAUACAUUUUUAUUUGUUACUAACAAAUGAGUGAAUGGGUAUUUUUUUUUAUCUCUGAUUGAACCAUUCUUAGCCUUUGUACCAAACCAAGCAGUUAUUACAAAAGUCUUUCAAGUGGACUCAAGAUGGCGACCCUACCGUUUAGCCUCUGUUCCUACAACCACUAACCCUGGAAUGAUAAUAGUGCCGGUGCUAACAUUUUGGUUUCUCGUUUUCUGCUGCUCUGUGUCUUGGGCUAGACUGCACUGAAAAGACUAAUCCUCUGCUCACUAAUCAUCACAUGCUUCAUUUGGAUUCCGUGUGACAUUCUCCACUAACAGCCUGGCUCUUCUGAUGGGUCUUGACGGAAUAUAAAUUAUCAUUUUGGGAUUUGUACUGCUGCUCACCACCCACUGCCCCGUCUGGGCGUGCUCUGAUUGCUCUCCCCAGGGCCUGUGUGUGUGUGUGUGGACGGCACCUCAGCUCUCUGGAGGGCUGAGGAUGUGAGAGAAUAAAGCAUUUUCAAACAUUGCUUGGUCGUGUCUUAUCCGAUUUUAAGAGGAUUCUUUAUUUAUUUUUGCGAAAUGAAAAAACAAAAAAAAAUGUUUGUGAUGCAUUAAGAAAUAGGUGUUCAUAUAAAUUGAAUUUAAGUACUGUCACUUUGCAUUUAAAUUAAUUAUUAUAAGCGCAGUAUUAGACAUGUCUUCUGCAUAUAUCGUUUUCUUCUACGCCGCUGCUUGGGCUGUGUAUUGCGUCAUUAAAACCAUAUAACAAAAAAUGCUACGUUAUACCUUGUAAAAUAAAAUGCUCCUG
ensembl:lncRNA